rnacentral:rRNA from 1 species
GACAGAGGGUGCAAACGUUGCUCGGAAUCAUUGGGCGUAAAGCGCACGUAGGCGGACCAUCAAGUCGGAUGUGAAAUCCCUCGGCUUAACUGAGGACGUGCAUUCGAAACUGAUGGCCUUGAGUACGAAAGAGGAUCGCGGAAUUCCCGGUGUAGCGGUGAAAUGCGCAGAUAUCGGGAAGAACACCCGUGGCGAAGGCGGUUCUCUGGGACGGUACUGACGCUGAGACGCGAAAGCGUGGGGAGCGAA